rnacentral:lncRNA from 10 species
AGAGAUCCACCUAAAAGCUUUCCCACACUCAUCACACUUAAAUGGUUUCUCUACAGCGUGAAUUCUCUGAUGUGCAACAAGGCUUGGACUGUCUGAGGCUUUUAGAAUUUGAGCUUUCUCCCCAGUAUGCAUCCUUUGAUGCUGGGCUAGGGUGGAGCUCUGGCUGAAGGCCUUCCCACACUCCUUGCAAGGGUAGGGCCUCUCCCCAGUGUGAGUUCUCUGGUGUCUAACCAGCUGCGACUGCUGGCUGAAGGCUUUCCCACACUCACGACAACCAUAGGGCCUCUCUCCUGUGUGGAUUCUCUGAUGGUGGAUGAGGCUUGAGCUCUGACCAAAAGCUUUUCCACAUUCCUCACAUCUGUAGGGCUUCUCCCCAGUGUGGAUUCUUUGAUGCUGAAUAAGUUUUGAGCUCAGGCGGAAGGCUUUUCCACACUCAGUGCAUUUAAAGGGUUUCUCUCCCGUGUGGAUUCUCUGAUGCUGAUUAAGCUGCGAGCAGAGCCUGAAGACUUUCCCACACUCUGCACAUUCGUACGGCUUCUCUCCAUGGCAGUUAUUUGUAUGUUUCCCCUGCAAGCAGUCAGAUAACUUUUUUUGGCAUUCUUGACAUCUGCUAAUUUUCUGUGUAUUAAUUUCCCAAUGCAGAGCGAUAUCUGAAGUGGCUCUGAUGCCUUUGCCACACUCCUCGCAUCUCUGGGACAUCCCUUCCGCACUCUCUCCCUGACUUUCAAGAGGCUGACAAUCCAGGCCGCUGCUUCCCAGCUCCUUACAUCCCUGGGGUGCGUCCUUGGUGAAGGUCUUGGGAACCACAGUCUCCUCAUUCAAACAGUUAUUUUGGAAGGAGAUGGCCACAUGAACACAGACACGCAGGGAGAAGGCAGCCGUGUGAAGGAGUCGGAGAUCAGAGUGAGGGACGCAUCCACAAGCCAAGGAACCCAAGGACUGCCAGAAAACCACCAGCUGCCCGGAGAGGCAGGACAGGAUCCUUCCCUAAAGCCUUCACAGGGGGGCACGGCCCUGCUUGCUGACCCCCCGGUUUCAGAUUUCCGGC